UACGGUAGGGUGCAAGCGUUGUCCGGAAUUAUUGGGCGUAAAGAGCUCGUAGGCGGUCUGUUGCGUCGGCUGUGAAAACCCGGGGCUCAACUCCGGGCCUGCAGCCGAUACGGGCAGACUAGAGUUCGGCAGGGGAGACUGGAAUUCCUGGUGUAGCGGUGAAAUGCGCAGAUAUCAGGAGGAACACCGGUGGCGAAGGCGGGUCUCUGGGCCGAUACUGACGCUGAGGAGCGAAAGCGUGGGGAGCAAACAGG
rnacentral:rRNA from 1 species